rnacentral:tRNA from 1 species
GUAUGUGCCCAAUGGACCAGUGUGUCUGGCUGUUAACCAGAAGGUUGGCGGUUCAAGCCCAUCCAGGGACA